rnacentral:rRNA from 1 species
AGUGAACGCUGGCGGUAGGCCUAACACAUGCAAGUCGAACGGCAGCACAGUAAGAGCUUGCUCUUACGGGUGGCGAGUGGCGGACGGGUGAGGAAUACAUCGGAAUCUACUUUUUCGUGGGGGAUAACGUAGGGAAACUUACGCUAAUACCGCAUACGACCUACGGGUGAAAGCAGGGGAUCUUCGGACCUUGCGCGAUUGAAUGAGCCGAUGUCGGAUUAGCUAGUUGGCGGGGUAAAGGCCCACCAAGGCGACGAUCCGUAGCUGGUCUGAGGGGAUGACCAGCCACACUGGAACUGAGACACGGUCCAGACUCCUACGGGAGGCAGCAGUGGGGAAUAUUGGACAAUGGGCGCAAGCCUGAUCCAGCCAUACCGCGUGGGUGAAGAAGGCCUUCGGGUUGUAAAGCCCUUUUGUUGGGAAAGAAAAGCAGCAGGUUAAUACCCCGCUGUUCUGACGGUACCCAAAGAAUAAGCACCGGCUAACUUCGUG